CGCGUGUGUGAAGAAGGCCUUCGGGUUGUAAAGCACUUUCAGUAAGGAGGAAGCGUUGAGUGUUAAUAGUACUCAGCGUUGACGUUACUUACAGAAGAAGCACCGGCUAACUCUGUGCCAGCAGCCGCGGUAAUACAGAGGGUGCAAGCGUUAAUCGGAAUUACUGGGCGUAAAGCGCACGUAGGCGGUUUUUUAAGUCAGAUGUGAAAGCCCCGGGCUCAACCUGGGAAUUGCAUUUGAAACUGGAAAACUAGAGUGUGUGAGAGGGGGGUAGAAUUCCAAGUGUAGCGGUGAAAUGCGUAGAGAUUUGGAGGAAUACCAGUGGCGAAGGCGGCCCCCUGGCACAACACUGACGCUCAGGUGCGAAAGCGUGGGGAGCAAACAGGAUUAGAUACCCUGGUAGUCCACGCCGUAAACGAUGUCUACUAGCUGUUCGUGACCUUGUGUCGUGAGUAGCGCAGCUAACGCACUAAGUAGACCGCCUGGGGAGUACGGUCGCAAGAUUAAAACUCAAAUGAAUUGACGGGGGCCCGCACAAGCGGUGGAGCAUGUGGUUCAAUUCGACGCAACGCGAAGAACCUUACCUACUCUUGACAUCCAGAGAAGACUGCAGAGAUGCGGUUGUGCCUUCGGGAACUCUGAGACAGGUGCUGCAUGGCUGUCGUCAGCUCGUGUUGUGAAAUGUUGGGUUAAGUCCCGCAACGAGCGCAACCCUUAUCCUUAGUUGCCAGCACGUAAUGGUGGGAACUCUAGGGAGACUGCCGGUGAUAAACCGGAGGAAGGUGGGGACGACGUCAAGUCAUCAUGGCCCUUACGAGUAGGGCUACACACGUGCUACAAUGGUAUGUACAGAGGGAGGCAAGCUGGCGACAGUGAG
rnacentral:rRNA from 1 species